rnacentral:lncRNA from 1 species
UCAUGGCAAAGAGCAUUUGCAGAUGUGAUUAAGUUAAAGAUCUUGACAUGGGGAGAUUAUCCUGGAUUAUCCUGGUAAACCCAAUAAAAGGGAAGCAGGAAAGUCAGAUUCAUAGGAGACAAUAGAAGAGUUGGGAGGAAGGGGCGCUGAGGUGAGGAAUGUGGGCAGCCUCUAGAAGCUGUAAGAGCAAGGAAACAGAUUCUCCCCUGGAACCUCUAGAAGGAACACUGCACUCUGGAACCUUGACCUCCUAACUGUAAGAUAAUGUGCAUUAUUUUAAACCACUAAUAUGCCUGGCAUUAUUAUAAGUGCUUUGCAUGAAUGAAAUCAUUGCAGACUCACUGACUAUGAAUCAGCAUAUAGUUUGCUUUCCAUAACUGGACAGCAGAAUCACCAAGGACCAAGCCUGCAAAUCCUGAAAAAUGUUUCUUUCCAGAUGGACCACAAUCAAAAUUUAACAAAAUAAAGCUUCAAAAAAUUCCCAAGCUGCACAGCUCCUGGAGCCACUCCUAUUUCAAAACUGAACAUCAAUCCACAACUUGGAAGGAACAGAAACUAACACAGACACCAGGAAGAAACAUCCAGCAGAGGAGACAAGAGUAAGCCAAUGACUGAAGCUUAGAAUUCUAGAAAGCAGCAGGGGGCUCAGGAACCUGGAUUCCUUCCUGAUUCUCAGAAUGGCCUUUAACUUGAGAAGAAAAUGCAGAAUACUGUGGUGUAAAGGUGCCAAAGUCACCAAAGGCAAAAGAUAUCCACUUUUAGGGUAGUAAGAUUACUUCUAAACCCUUUCCAGAUGGCUCGAGAGGAGACUCUUAGGGCUAUAGAUGCCCUCUUAUCAGAAGGAUUAGGAAUAGCAAUUUCAUUUUAACUUGAAAUGUCCCAAGAGUACAUCCUUGACCAUUUGUUUGAUGUAAGGUCACAGGAUUUCCUCUGAUUUUAAGUCACUGAUUGAUAUAUCACAUCCUUUCAAUAAACUAUACUC